ACGGAGAAAUUGGAAGUUUCAAGUUCUGAAGUGAAAUUAAACUGGCCUGGCCUGUCAUCGAACCCAAAGAGCCACAUGGUUAACCUGACCCCCCUGGUCCUCAGUCCUGGAGGCUUCCAUUUCUCGUACCUGCCCAGAAACGGUGUGCACAGGCUCCAUUACCCUGGCUUCCCCUGGACCUCAGCCUGUAAUGACUCCCCCAACACCGAGGAGACACCAGCCCCUCCUGUGGAGACCCCCGUUUUCACUCCACCUGUCCUGCUCAAGUUCCAGCCUGUGCCCAGACCUAGAGAUGACUCAGAGACUGACCAUGGCAGUGCGCAGUCUGUGCCCCACA